ACUUGGUCUACGUAAUCAGUGGCGAACGGGUGAGUAACACGUGAGUAACCUGCCCCAGACUCUGGGAUAAGCCUUGGAAACGAGGUCUAAUACCGGAUACGCAACUCCAUCGCAUGGUGAGGGUUGGGAAAGUUUUUCGGUCUGGGAUGGACUCGCGGCCUAUCAGCUUGUUGGUGAGGUAAUGGCUCACCAAGGCGACGACGGGUAGCCGGCCUGAGAGGGCGACCGGCCACACUGGAACUGAGACACGGUCCAGACUCCUACGGGAGGCAGCAGUGGGGAAUAUUGCACAAUGGGCGCAAGCCUGAUGCAGCGACGCCGCGUGGGGGAUGAAGGCCUUCGGGUUGUAAACCCCUUUCAGCAGGGAAGAAGCGAAAGUGACGUUACCUGCAGAAGAAGCGCCGGCUAACUACGUGCCAGCAGCCGCGGUAAUACGUAGGGCGCAAGCGUUGUCCUGGAAUUAUUGGGCGUAAAGAGCUCGUAGGCGGUUCGUCGCGUCUGCUGUGAAAGCCCGAGGCUCAACCUCGGGUCUGCAGUGGGUACGGGCGGACUAGAGUGUGGUAGGGGAGACUGCAAUUCCUGGUGUAGCGGUGGAAUGCGCAGAUAUCAGGAGGAACACCAAUGGCGAAGGCAGGUCUCUGGGCCACAACUGACGCUGAGGAGCGAAAGCGUGGGGAGCGAACAGGAUUAGAUACCCUGGUAGUUCACGCCGUAAACGGUGGGCACUAGAUGUGGGGCUCUUUCCAUGAGUUCCGCGUCGCAGCUAACGCAUUAAGUGCCCCGCCUGGGGAGUACGGCCGCAAGGCUAAAACUCAAAGGAAUUGACGGGGGCCCGCACAAGCGGCGGAGCAUGCGGAUUAAUUCGAUGCAACGCGAAGAACCUUACCAAGGCUUGACAUAUACCUUCUAUCCUCAGAGAUGGGGAGUGCUUUUAGCGGGGUAUACAGGUGGUGCAUGGUUGUCGUCAGCUCGUGUCGUGAGAUGUUGGGUUAAGUCCCGCAACGAGCGCAACCCUCGUCCUAUGUUGCCAGCACGUGAUGGUGGGGACUCAUAGGAGACUGCCGGGGUCAACUCGGAGGAAGGUGGGGAUGACGUCAAAUCAUCAUGCCCCUUAUGUCUUGGGCUUCACGCAUGCUACAAUGGCCGGUACAAAGGGCUGCGAUACCGUAAGGUGGAGCGAAUCCCAAAAAGCCGGUCUCAGUUCGGAUUGAGGUCUGCAACUCGACCUCAUGAAGUAGGAGUCGCUAGUAAUCGCAGAUCAGCAACGCUGCGGUGAAUACGUUCCCGGGCCUUGUACACACCGCCCGUCAAGGCCCUAAAGUAAGUAGUAUAUAGUGAAAGCCCUGCACAA
rnacentral:rRNA from 1 species